UAGGGUACAUACAUUUUUGUAGUCAAGCAUGGCAGUUAUUUAGGGUCUUAAUUUGUAUCAGCUUGCACCAUCAACUUUAUAAAAAGAAACCAUAAUAACUCGUAAUUUUCUAAAUACUCUGAAGUUCACCUGCAAAAUCUUCUAAUUGGGAUACACAGGACCUCGUUCACUAACGUGUGUAGAAAUGUUCUUACUCUGCGCAUAAAAUAAGUUCAUACGCAAAGGUAUGUGUACACAAACAAGGAACAGUGCAAUGGUGAGGAGUGAAAAGUAGCUGAAAAAGGAAGGUAUAAAAUGUUGUUAUUUUUUUAGCAAUGCCUUGACACUCUGGAAGGAUAUCACAAAAUACUGUUGGGGUUGUAUCAAGUCAACUUUGGUUAUAUUCUUUAAUAAUUAUACUUAAUUAUUAAUAAUAUAAAUAAAAUAUCAUUAAACUAUGUUUAAUCUCG